GAUGAACGCUGGCGGCGUGCCUAAUACAUGCAAGUCGAGCGAACAGAUAAGGAGCUUGCUCCUUUGACGUUAGCGGAGGACGGGUGAGUAACACGUGGGUAACCUACCUAUAAGACUGGAAUAACUCCGGGAAACCGGGGCUAAUGCCGGAUAACAUUUAGAACCGCAUGGUUCUAAAGUGAAAGAUGGUUUUGCUAUCACUUAUAGAUGGACCCGCGCCGUAUUAGCUAGUUGGUAAGGUAACGGCUUACCAAGGCAACGAUACGUAGCCGACCUGAGAGGGUGAUCGGCCACACUGGAACUGAGACACGGUCCAGACUCCUACGGGAGGCAGCAGUAGGGAAUCUUCCGCAAUGGGCGAAAGCCUGACGGAGCAACGCCGCGUGAGUGAUGAAGGUCUUCGGAUCGUAAAACUCUGUUAUUAGGGAAGAACAAAUGUGUAAGUAACUGUGCACGUCUUGACGGUACCUAAUCAGAAAGCCACGGCUAACUACGUG
rnacentral:rRNA from 1 species